AUUUGAUGUAUCCAUUUGGCUAUACCCAUGCUGCACUUCCAGGUACCUAUUAGAAAUUCCGGACAGAGUUAUUCUUGUCUACAAAUUCAUCUCUUCUCUUACCUUGCACCAGAUUAUAAAUCUCUAUAGUACAUACCAUUAACCUUAUAUUCAUCCUGGUUGGUGCCUGGCUCACUGGAGAGGCACACACACAUUUAGCAUGGGGACAAAAGUAAUUAUGACAGGAGUAAAUAAAUGAAUAAACAAAUGAAAGUUCCUCAAUAGGUUGAACGGUGGGGGACAUAUAUCAUAAUUUAUGCUAUAUAGUUGUAACUAGAAAAUAAUUGUUUCUUUUUUUUUUUUUUUUUUUGUUUUUCUCCGGUACCAGGAACCGAACUCACGACCUUGCGCUUGCCAGGAAGGUGCUUUGCCGCUGAGCUAAAUCCCCAGCCCAGUUGUUUCUUAUGUUGAUAAUAAGCCAGUGGUUCUCAAUGGGAUCAGAAUCACCGAGACUCCCUGUUUAAACACAGAUUGUGGGCCUCGGCCUGAGGUUUGAUUUUGUAAUUCUGAGAUUGACCAUCUCUGACAAAUCCUAAGAUGAAACUGAUGCCAGAGUUCAAGCACCAGAUUUUGAGACUGUCUAUGAUGUUAUUGUAGCAUAGUAAUUUCAUGUGUUUCAUUAUUCCGUAAUCACUUUUAUCCAAUUAGCUCUUAUCUACUUCUCCAGGAGCAUAUUUGUCAUACUUUCGGAACAGUUUUGUCGCCGUGACUGAUGGAGAACAGUGUGCAUGGCUGGCAUGGUUUGGAAACUUGGUUUUUUUUAGCCAGUGAUGGAAUCCAAAGGAAUCCUUUAUCAGAGUCCUCACCUCCGACAGGAAAGAUGCUUGGACCUUCAUCUACCAAAUUCUGCUUCAUAUUUGGAGACGAGUAUGCGUUGAGAAAACUACAGAAAUAGAUUCGGUGGGAGGCAGACACUCGGCCUCCCAAGGAGCUAUCCGCGGUCUCUCUGCAGUCUACAGUAUUUGGGCAAAGACCAAUUUUUGUCUGUUUUAUGGCACUGCUCUGAUUCCCUCCUUCCCCACACAACCUUCCCCUGAAAACUGAACUGUAUGCUGCUGCUGACAGCAGUUUCAGUAAUUCUCAGAAGACUGAAACAUUUGAGUUUCAUUCUCUCUCUGCAUGUUUGUCUAUAGAUUUAAAAUAUCCUAAAAGUUACUAAAACAAUGCUUAUUUGGUAACUAUUACAACUGCUAGAACAUCAUUUCCUCAAUUUUACCAACCCCCUGUGCAAAAAUGUUUCUUUUGGGUAUUGCUUCAUUGCUAAAGGCAAAAUAAAAAAGAAUUGUGAUGACAAAUUCCUAAGAGAUGUUCUACUAUUUGCUCAGCCAGUUUAAAGUAUGACUGCUCACUUGAAAAAGAUACAAAUAAAAAAUUACCUGUUCAGCAGAAUUUGCUUCUGUUUUACUCCCUAGGUUUACUGCCUGGUUAUGGUUUAAUAACACAAUAUACUCUAGAUCACUGUCGCUGUAAAACCGACAGGCAGGGAAUCCACUACAGUCAGAUACCGUCCCACUCUGCGUAAAUAAAUGAAAUCUUGAAGUUGGAGCU
rnacentral:lncRNA from 1 species